UACGGAGGAUCCAAGCGUUAUCCGGAUUUAUUGGGUUUAAAGGGUGCGUAGGCGGCUUUUUAAGUCAGUGGUGAAAUGCUUCGGCUCAACCGAAGAAGUGCCUCUGAUACUGAAGAGCUUGAGUGCGGACAAGGUCGGCGGAAUGCGGCAAGUAGCGGUGAAAUGCAUAGAUAUGCCGCAGAACACCAAUAGCGAAGGCAGCUGACCGGGGCGCAACUGACGCUGAGGCACGAAAGCGUGGGGAUCGAACAGG
rnacentral:rRNA from 2 species